ACUCCUACGGGAGGCAGCAGGGGGGAACUAUUGCGACAAUGGAGCGCAGUCCUGAUCCAGCAAUGCCAGCGUGAGUGAUAGAAGGCCUUAGGGUUGUAAAGCUCUUUCGUCACUGCGACGAUGCAUGACGGGAUCAAGAGAAAAAGCCCCGGCUCAAUUCCGUGCCAGCAGCCGCGGUAAU
rnacentral:rRNA from 1 species